rnacentral:rRNA from 1 species
AUUCGAUUAGAGUUUGAUCAUGGCUCAGAACGAACGUUGGCGGCACGCUUAAUACAUGCAAGUCGAACGAGAAACUUGGUUCGCCAAGUGGAAAGUGGCAGACGGUUGAGUAACGCGUGGGAAUCUACCUAGAGGUUCGGAAUAACUACUGGAAACGAUAGCUAAUACCGGAUAAGCCCUUCGGGGGAAAGAUUUAUUGCCUUUAGAUGAGCCCGCGUCGGAUUAGCUUGUUGGUAAGGUAACGGCUUACCAAAGCAACGAUCCGUAGCUGAUCUGAGAGAAUGAUCAGCCAGAUUGGGACUGAGACACGGCCCAAACUCCUACGGGAGGCAGCAGUGGGGAAUCUUGCACAAUGGAGGAAACUCUGAUGCAGCGAUGCCGCGUGAGUGAAGAAGGCCCUUGGGUUGUAAAGCUCUUUCGUCGGGGAAGAAAAUGACUGUACCCGAAUAAGAAGGUCCGGCUAACUUCGUGCCAGCAGCCGCGGUAAUACGAAGGGACCUAGCGUAGUUCGGAAUUACUGGGCUUAAAGAGUUCGUAGGUGGUUGAAAAAGUUGGUGGUGAAAUCCCAGAGCUUAACUCUGGAACUGCCAUCAAAACUCUUCAGCUAGAGUAUGAUAGAGGAAAGCAGAAUUUCUAGUGUAGAGGUGAAAUUCGUAGAUAUUAGAAAGAAUACCAAUUGCGAAGGCAGCUUUCUGGAUCAUUACUGACACUGAGGAACGAAAGCAUGGGUAGCGAAGAGGAUUAGAUACCCUCGUAGUCCAUGCCGUAAACGAUGUGUGUUAGACGUUGGAAAUUUAUUUUCAGUGUCGCAGCGAAAGCGAUAAACACACCGCCUGGGGAGUACGACCGCAAGGUUAAAACUCAAAUGAAUUGACGGGGACCCGCACAAGUAGUGGAGCAUGUGGUUUAAUUCGAAGAUACGCGCAGAACCUUACCAACACUUGACAUGUUCGUCGCGACUUUAAGAGAUUAAAGUUUUCGGUUCGGCCGGACGAAACACAGGUGCUGCAUGGCUGUCGUCAGCUCGUGUCGUGAGAUGUUGGGUUAAGUCCCGCAACGAGCGCAACCCUCACUUUUAGUUGCCAUCAUUUAGUUGGGCACUCUGAAAGAACUGCCAGUGAUAAGCUGGAGGAAGGUGGGGAUGACGUCAAGUCCUCAUGGCCCUUACGUGUUGGGCUACACACGUGCUACAAUGGUAUAUACAACAGGAAGCAAAACGGCGACGUUAAGCAAAUCCUCAAAAGAUACCUCAGUUCGGAUUGCACUCUGCAACUCGAGUGCGUGAAGCUGGAAUUACUAGUAAUCGUGGAUCAGCGUGCCACGGUGAAUGCGUUCCGCGGGUCUUGUAG